AACAAAAAUACAACAACAACAUUACAAUACCAAACGUCCCCUUAAACAUGAGAGAGGGUUUUCUCCUUAGAGAAACCCUAGCCGCCCUUCGUUUACUCUCUCUCUCAUCGCGUCAUAUGCCAGAAACAACAAGUUCUGCAGCCUCGCGAUGCUCCUGUGGACCUUGGUAUGGUUGAAAUGGGCAAGAUCAUUUAUUUCUCUUUUUUUAACCAAAACCACCGCAUAUCAACCCCUUAUCAAGAGUGGAGGAGAGGGAGCACUAAGAGCUUUCAAGUCCAUCCUUGAAGCUGUCUACACCAACAAAAGGUAAUUCCCUUAUCAUGCCUUUAUGUUUAUAUUUCUGUUUAGUCUUUACUUGGCUUUGGUAAUGUUCUUUUGGUUAUUAUUGUUGUUUACUAUUGAUGUAGGUCUGUUAAUAUAAGAUUGUAUUAGCUUAUGUUUGUUUGGUUUAUUGAUAGUUUAGAAAAUUUGGUCUGAGUAUGGGGAUUAAUCCAGACAUGCCUAAUCAUGCCUAAAGAUGUUGAAAUGUGCUUGAAUAUUCCUAAAUAGAUUUGAAUAUGCUUAAAUACAUCUAAGAUGUGCCCCCAAAAGUGCUUAAAGAUAUCUGAAUGUGUCUAAUUGGAUCUGAAAAUGAUUGAAUGUGUCUGAAUAUGCCUAAGUCUGCCUAGGUCUUGCUAUGCAAUGUUAAAAUUAACCUGUUUUAAUGAUCUUGAGUUGAAACUGGGUAGACUUUGGGUAAGACAAGGAUUGACUAGCACUAUUCCUAGAUGUAUGAAACUGGAAGCAUUCAUAUAGCUUUAAUUAUUUUAUGAAAAUUAAUCCUUUGAUUUUGAAAGAUAAAAGAGUGAAAAGGAGGGAAAGCUCUGGUUUAAAUCUGUCCAGGUCUUUUUUUUAUGAACUGUUUGUGUCAUUUCCUAAAGUUAUGGUCUGAAUGUGGAAUAUGAAAUGCCAUGGUUGAAAGUGAGAUGGGCAGUGGUGUUAGGCCUUCUUUUAGGGAUUGGGAUAUGUUGUUUCUGGUGUUGUCUUGCUCAUAUGUGUAAAUCAAUCUCAAAAUAAGAACAUAUAUGUCUGCUCAGACUCUAUGAUGAUCAAAAGGAUUAAAGGUCACACCAUGAGUAGAACUCUAGGUUGAAACAACUAAAAUGCUAAAUCUGCAUCAAUAUUGACUAAGUGUUAGAUUUGGAUUGACUUAAUGAUGUUGUUUGAGGAGUCAUAAGUGUCCAUAGGCAAUCUGUGAACCACUUGAGAUAGAGGGGCCUUUUCAAAGACACCUUAAAGAGGAGAUCGGGAAGAACCAAGUUCAGCUUGGUCCAUAGUACCUCUCUUCCAAUAAGAGGUGUCAUGGUACACUCUUAUAAGUCCAUGGGGGUCAUAUCUGCUAUAUGAAUGCACUUGACUCUUUAAACCUCACCAUUAUAUCAAAGGGUUGAAAUAAAAUUAACUUGUUAAGUGUCUAAAUAAGCCAUUAAGGUUAAAAGAAGAAUCUGCCCUCUUGGUGAUAUAUAUAUAUAUAUAUAUAUAUAUCUAUAUAUAUAUAUAUAUAUAUAUAUAUAUUGUUCUAGAAAUAAGAAGGAAUCUAGUUAAGAUGAAAAUCUUGGUAGUAAAAUCUUGCAUUGAAGUAAGCAUUAGAAUACUGCAAUUUCUUGAUCCAUUUGAACCUCUGUUUUGUGACCUCUUGUCUUUGAAAUUCUGUUUAAUUUUCCCUGUACACUUCUCUUUUAAUCGAUUGAAUUGGUUGAGGCUUGAAUGAUCACCCCAUGACUUCAUUGUUUUCCUCAAAUUACCUAAGCUUGUGCCUCCCUGUACCACCUCAUUUGUUUGAAUCUGCUGAAAUUUUGUGCCCAAUUUAUUGCUUGAAUACCACUUAGAACCUUAGGAGUUAAUGUGCCUAAUUUGGAUUUCUGUACCUAUCUCUUGAGGUGAUAAGUAUAGGGGUUGUAUUGAAUCUUCUUCAAGUCGUUGUACAGUGGUUCUAGUUGACUAAGCUUGUGUUUACAUUGGCCAUAGUUUAGUUCUGAAAUUGCUUUAAAAAAUAUAAAGGUUAAUUAGGUGGUUAGUUGAAUCAUAAGCUCAACGUUUAGGUUUUAAGGAUUGAUGUACAUAAAAUAUGCAUGGUUGAUAAAAUAAAGGAGGGUUAUGCAUAUGAUAUAUACUUGAUAUGCAUAUCCAAUGUGUAUAUUAUAGGCAUAACAUGUAUAUACAUAUGAAUAGUUCGUCAUAGACAGAGCGUGUAUCAGUCACUUUGAGGAAUAGAAGGCCUACUGGCUUGAAAACUUAGUUGAAAUUUAGAGUUGGUAGAAUUUGCGCCUAGCCCAUUCUAGUUAGUGUAAAAAUAGCCCACAUCUCACACCUAGUUAAAACAGGGGCGAAAGGGGGCUCGGGCUAAAUUUUUAAGAUGUGCUGAUGGGCCUUUGGGCCCAAUAUUUUGAAACUGAAUAUGUAUAUAUGUGUAUUCACUUUAUGUAUAUAUAAAUCUUGUAUAUAUGGUGAUAAGUUCAGUAGUAUCUUUCUAACCUAUUUCCCCUUUUCCUUCCUUCUCUCCACUGCAUGGCCACUUGGGCCGGGUCAGACCUUACCUGUUGGGCCAUGCCAUGGCCCAACAGGUCAAUUCUUUUACAGCACAAGCAGUCCAGACCGACGAAAGGGAAGCUAGUAUUAUGAGAUCGCGUUGAAGGCCCAACCAUGGGUGAAAAUGACUAACUAAGGGUUUAGUACACCCCUAACCUACUCCUCUCUUUUAUUCAUGAUAUUUUCAUUUGAUGUUGUAUUUGUAUAACUUGUAAGAAUUCACAUUGUACAUUGGAAGCUUUAUUUUUAGAACUAGUCGUCUUAUGACAACAAUACAUAUGUCAUUUGGUA